UAGUACUGGGGCCAAGGAUAAAGCUGG
rnacentral:piRNA from 1 species